UCCACGUAAUUGAACUUGAUGAAUGUUGGCGUUUGUUUAUCUCUCUAACGCGCACUGUCCUUUCAACACCCCUCCGGAUGACAUAUCUGGGCCGGUUUGGUUAUUUUCAGAACAAUACAGCACCUGUCUAUCUCCAGGGGUUUUGUGAUUAGAGCUUGGAUUGUCAAUUACAACAAGUCAAACUGCAACUCUCGGUUUUCUUUGUCCGGGAAAAGAGUGCUAGUUUUACCAGCUAGCCAGGCUAUGCUAGUCGAUGGAAAAUAGUAAGCACAUUUAUAUGGUUUUGGAAUGACCUGUUCAGGAGAAAAAAUGCAGUUUCAGUUCCUUUGGAUGACAAUUGAAGGAAACUGAGCAUGUUUGACCACGAUAAAAAGGCAUGUUUUAAAAAUGUUAAAAUACAAGCUAUCGUCAAACCAUCCAUGCAUCCCACGUUCCUUCCAACUUAGGCCUAAGUGAGAUCGCUUAGGUUAUGUACAUUGCUACUGAGGCAUCGUGUUCUUGGACAACUGGUAUGAUCUACCCAGGCAGAUGCGAGGAUGCGCACCACCAGGUCCAUUCCAUGCACACAUGCAUCAUCUUGGCAUUCUGGCUGGCAGGAAUUGAUCCUGAACGACAACCAACAAGGGGCAACAUAAGAGACGGCACACAGGGAGAGCUGAGGAAAAACGCAGUCCUGAUGUUAUUUUAAAAACACAGGUUUGCUGUUGGCAUGGACUUUGUGGACUGUGGACUUGUUCACAGUUCAGGGCUAUGGGACCUGAUGUGAGGUGCUGCUGCGAUUUCAGCGUGGAGCAAAGGGCCAACUUUCGAGGGUGACUGACCCCUUCGAAAAACGCCCGUUGGCAAAGGUGUACAGUCUGGAAUGUGAUGCGUUCUACGGGGGGUUUUGUCUGAGGUGCAAACACAACGUUGUGCUCGCCCUGCACGUGUUGAUUGGCUGAGAUUUCUCCUUUCUUAAUCUAUGAGAAGCUGGGGGGGAAGGAGAUCAAUGAGGGACGGAGACCGCAGAUUUGUACAUGUGAUUAAGCUGAAAAAUGCAUGUCAUUUCUGGCAUAUUUACAGAAAUAUAUAUUAAUAUGCACUG